rnacentral:rRNA from 1 species
AAUGAACGUUGGCGGCAUGGAUUAGGCAUGCAAGUCGGGGGAAUCCCAGCAAUGGGGGAACCGGCGUAAGGGGCAGUAAGGCAUGGGUACCUACCUUGGGGUUCGGGAUAGCCAUCAGAGAUGGUGGGUAAUACCGGAUGACGUCGUGAGACCAAAGAUUUAUCGCCCGUCGAGGGGCCCAUGUGAUAUUAGCUAGUUGGUGGGGUAACGGCCCACAAAGGCGAAGGUGUCUAGCGGGUGUGAGAGCACGACCCGCGCCACUCGCACUGAGACACUGGCGAGACACCUACGGGUGGCUGCAGUCGAGGAUCUUCGGCAAUGAGCGAAAGCUUGACCGAGCGAUGCCGCGUGAGCGAUGAAGGCCUUCGGGUUGUAAAGCUCUUUAGUGGGGGAGAAAAGCCGCAAGGUGUGAUCUACCCCAAAAAUAAGCACGGGCUAAGUUCGUGCCAGCCGCCGCCGUAA